rnacentral:rRNA from 1 species
AGAACGAACGCUGGCGGCAGGCUUAACACAUGCAAGUCGAACGCGUGUAGCAAUACACGAGUGGCGCACGGGUGAGUAACGCGUGGAUAUCUGCCUUUUGGUUCGGAAUAACCCCGGGAAACUGGGGCGUAAUACCGGAUGGUUCCUACGGGAUAAAGAUUUAUCGCCAAAAGAUGAGUCCGCGUCCGAUUAGCUAGUUGGUGGGGUAAUGGCCUACCAAGGCGACGAUCGGUAGCUGGUCUGAGAGGACGAUCAGCCACACUGGGACUGAGACACGGCCCAGACUCCUACGGGAGGCAGCAGUGGGGAAUAUUGGACAAUGGGGGCAACCCUGAUCCAGCCAUGCCGCGUGGAGGAAGACGGCCCGUGGGUUGUAAACUCCUUUUCUUAGAGAAGAACAACUGACGGUAUCUAAGGAAUAAGCAUUGGCUAACUCUGUGCCAGCAGCCGC